rnacentral:ncRNA from 1 species
GAUAGGUGCCCGCAAGGGCUUAAUAGGGAAGUCCGGUGAAGUACCGGCGCGGUCCCGCCACUGUAAUAGGGAGUGAGUCCAAAAAAAUACCACUGAGACAAACGUCUUGGGAAGGUUUGGAUAAACUAUGAUCUAGAGCCAGGAGAACUGCCUAUUUUAU